CCUACGGGAGGCAGCAGUGAGGAAUAUUGGUCAAUGGACGAGAGUCUGAACCAGCCAUGUAGCGUGAAGGAUGACUGCCCUAUGGGUUGUAAACUUCUUUUAUAUGGGGAUAAACCUGAGUAUGCAUACUCUCUUGUAUGUACCAUAUGAAUAAGGAUCGGCUAACUCCGUGCCAGCAGCCGCGGUAAUACGGAGGAUCCGAGCGUUAUCCGGAUUUAUUGGGUUUAAAGGGUGCGUAGGUGGAUUGUUAAGUCAGUGGUGAAAGGUCGCGGCUCAACCGUAAAAUUGCAUUUUAUACUGGCAGUCUUGAGUACAGUAGCGGUAGGCGGAAUGCGUGGUGUAGCGGUGAAAUGCUUAGAUAUCACGAAGAACUCCGAUUGCGAAGGCAGCUCACUGAACUAUAACUGACACUGAGGCACGAAAGUGUGGGGAGCAAACAGGAUUAGAUACCCGAGUAGUC
rnacentral:rRNA from 1 species